CAUGGGCUGGGGCUUCGCGCUCUCCUCCAUGCUGUGUGUGCCCCUGCACCUCCUGGGCUGCCUCCUCAGAGCCAAGGGGACCAUGGCUGAGCGCUGGCAGCACCUGACGCAGCCUGUGUGGGGCCUCCACCACUUGGAGUAUAGAGCUCAGGACUCGGAUGUCAGGGGCCUGACCACCCUGACCCCAGUGUCCGAGAGCAGCAAGGUGGUGGUGGUGGAGAGCGUCAUGUGACAGGCGCCCCGGCUCCCAUCACCAGCUCACCCUCUUGUAGCCAUAGCAGCCCCUGCUUUAGCCCCCCCACCCCUCCCGGGGGGGCUUGCCUUUCCCUGACACUUUUGGGGUCUGCCGGGGGGGGGGGGAGUGGGAGGAAGCACCACGAGUGCUAACUAAAAUAACUUUUUCCAUUUUUAAUAAAAUGCCAAAAAUACCACAACCCACCAAAAAUAGAUGCCUCCCGACCCACCCCGCAACGGAGCUGGUACGCACGCUGCUUCCCAGGCCCUGCCCACCGCGCCCCCGCCCCAUGCCCGCUGCAGCUGUGUCUACCCCCCCCCCCCGCCCGCCCCAGCACGCCUGCCCCUCCGGGCUCUGCCCGACGCUCCCUCGGGUGGCCCAUCCACCCCAGAGGUGGCAGUGGCAGCUGGGGGACCAGGGCGGGAGAGCCAAGGCGGCUACUUCAGCUGGGCCCCACCCCUCUCCCCGUCCCUCUUCUAGAAGCUUAGAGAGCCAGCCAGCAACGGGACCGUCCGGUUCCUGCGCCAGUUGCCACCAAUAUCAGUUGUGUGAGCUUGUGUACGAAUGCAUGUGUGCGUGAGUAUGUAGGGUGAACCUCGAUCUCUUAGCCAAGGUCACUACCAGGUGUAAACUGUGCCUGUGGGCAAACGAGGCUUGUAUUUUGCACAUUUUAUAAAAACUUGAGGAAAGAGAUUCCUGCUUGUAUAUUUCUAAAGAGAAAACAGCCCGAUGUCCCGACUCUCCCUGCCACUCCCGUCCCUCGGAGCACCCUCUUAGUCCUCUGCCCCAGCCAAGGAGUGUGAAUUUAUAAAUCUAAUUUUCAUAGGCAAAAGCUUCAAGCUGUUGAGCGUGCGAGUCUGUCGUGUGGGUGUGCACGUGCAGUCCCAGGCCCCGGACCGGGGUGGACAGAGAGUGCAAGGCGGGGGGGCGGGGGGCCGUGCAGGAGCAUCCCCCCACCCCCUCUGCCCGCAAGCCGGCAGGGUGAGGUGCGGCGUCGUGACCCCCGGGGGACCUGGGGCCCCUCCCUUGGGCGCUCAGGCUCGCCCACGCCCUGCCCACCCACCCCCCCCCCCCCGGCCCGGGCUAGGCACGACUGCAGGGAUCUGAGGUGGGCACCAGCCCGGGAAGGCCUGCGCCCCGGCGCGGCUCCCACCUGCAAGCUUAAAGCGGAUGCACCUCCCGCGUCUCAAGUCUUCCAUUAGCAGCUUUAAUUAACCCACGUGUGUGUCACGUCCGAUCCCGAGACGGCCGAGCGGACCCUAGAAGGGCUUCCCCCAUGCCGCCCCGACGUGGGUCGGAGAGGUGGGCCUGGGUGAGGGCGGGGGUCCAGCGGGGACAUUCUUACUGUGCUAAAAAGCCACUGCAAACAUAGCAAUAAAAACAUGUCAUUUUCCAAA